UACGUAGGGUGCGAGCGUUAAUCGGAAUUACUGGGCGUAAAGCGUGCGCAGGCGGUUUUGUAAGCCAGAUGUGAAAUCCCCGGGCUUAACCUGGGAAUGGCAUUUGGGACUGCAAGGCUUGAGUGCGGCAGAGGAGACUGGAAUUCCUGGUGUAGCAGUGAAAUGCGUAGAUAUCAGGAGGAAUACCGAUGGCGAAGGCAGGUCUCUGGGCUGACACUGACGCUCAU
rnacentral:rRNA from 1 species